CCGAAAAUGUACCGGGGCUAAACAUAUUACCGAAGCUGUGGAUUGUCCUUUGGACAAUGGUAGGAGAGCGUUCUAAGGGCGUUGAAGCAUGAUCGUAAGGACAUGUGGAGCGCUUAGAAGUGAGAAUGCCGGUGUGAGUAGCGAAAGACGGGUGAGAAUCCCGUCCACCGAUUGACUAAGGUUUCCAGAGGAAGGCUCGUCCGCUCUGGGUUAGUCGGGUCCUAAGCUGAGGCCGACAGGCGUAGGCGAUGGAUAACAGGUUGAUAUUCCUGUACCACCUAUAAUCGUUUUAAUCGAUGGGGGGACGCAGUAGGAUAGGCGAAGCGUGCGAUUGGAUUGCACGUCUAAGCAGUAAGGCUGAGUAUUAGGCAAAUCCGGUACUCGUUAAGGCUGAGCUGUGAUGGGGAGAAGACAUUGUGUCUUCGAGUCGUUGAUUUCACACUGCCGAGAAAAGCCUCUAGAUAGAAAAUAGGUGCCCGUACCGCAAACCGACACAGGUAGUCAAGAUGAGAAUUCUAAGGUGAGCGAGCGAACUCUCGUUAAGGAACUCGGCAAAAUGACCCCGUAACUUCGGGAGAAGGGGUGCUCUUUAGGGUUAACGCCCAGAAGAGCCGCAGUGAAUAGGCCCAAGCGACUGUUUAUCAAAAACACAGGUCUCUGCUAAACCGUAAGGUGAUGUAUAGGGGCUGACGCCUGCCCGGUGCUGGAAGGUUAAGAGGAGUGGUUAGCUUCUGCGAAGCUACGAAUCGAAGCCCCAGUAAACGGCGGCCGUAACUAUAACGGUCCUAAGGUAGCGAAAUUCCUUGUCGGGUAAGUUCCGACCCGCACGAAAGGCGUAACGAUUUGGGCACUGUCUCAACGAGAGACUCGGUGAAAUCAUAGUACCUGUGAAGAUGCAGGUUACCCGCGACAGGACGGAAAGACCCCGUGGAGCUUUACUGUAGCCUGAUAUUGAAAUUCGGCACAGCUUGUACAGGAUAGGUAGGAGCCUUUGAAACGUGAGCGCUAGCUUACGUGGAGGCGCUGGUGGGAUACUACCCUAGCUGUGUUGGCUUUCUAACCCGCACCACUUAUCGUGGUGGGAGACAGUGUCAGGCGGGCAGUUUGACUGGGGCGGUCGCCUCCUAAAAGGUAACGGAGGCGCUCAAAGGUUCCCUCAGAAUGGUUGGAAAUCAUUCAUAGAGUGUAAAGGCAUAAGGGAGCUUGACUGCGAGACCUACAAGUCGAGCAGGGUCGAAAGACGGACUUAGUGAUCCGGUGGUUCCGCAUGGAAGGGCCAUCGCUCAACGGAUAAAAGCUACCCCGGGGAUAACAGGCUUAUCUCCCCCAAGAGUUCACAUCGACGGGGAGGUUUGGCACCUCGAUGUCGGCUCAUCGCAUCCUGGGGCUGUAGUCGGUCCCAAGGGUUGGGCUGUUCGCCCAUUAAAGCGGUACGCGAGCUGGGUUCAGAACGUCGUGAGACAGUUCGGUCCCUAUCCGUCGUGGGCGUAGGAAAUUUGAGAGGAGCUGUCCUUAGUACGAGAGGACCGGGAUGGACAUACCUCUGGUGUACCAGUUGUCGUGCCAACGGCAUAGCUGGGUAGCUAUGUGUGGACGGGAUAAGUGCUGAAAGCAUCUAAGCAUGAAGCCCCCCUCAAGAUGAGAUUUCCCAACUUCGGUUAUAAGAUCCCUCAAAGAUGAUGAGGUUAAUAGGUUCGAGGUGGAAGCAUGGUGACAUGUGUAGCUGACGAAUACUAAUCGAUCGAAGACUUAAUCAA
rnacentral:rRNA from 1 species